rnacentral:rRNA from 1 species
UUGAACGCUGGCGGCAUGCUUUACCCAUGCCAGUCGCACGGCAGCGCGGGGCAACCUGGCGGCGAGUGGCGAACGGGUGAGUAAUAUAUCGGAACGUACCCAGAAGUGGGGGAUAACGUAGCGAAAGUUACGCUAAUACCGCAUACGAUCUACGGAUGAAAGUAGGGGACCGCAAGGCCUUAUGCUUUUGGAGCGGCCGAUAUCUGAUUAGCUAGUUGGUGAGGUAAAGGCUCACCAAGGCGACGAUCAGUAGCUGGUCUGAGAGGACGACCAGCCACACUGGAACUGAGACACGGUCCAGACUCCUACGGGAGGCAGCAGUGGGGAAUUUUGGACAAUGGGCGCAAGCCUGAUCCAGCAAUGCCGCGUGAGUGAAGAAGGCCUUCGGGUUGUAAAGCUCUUUUGUCAGGGAAGAAACGGUAGAGGCUAAUAUCCUUUGCUAAUGACGGUACCUGAAGAAUAAGCACCGGCUAACUACGUG